rnacentral:misc_RNA from 1 species
AACAAGGCGUACCUGCGGACCUGCGGAGGGAUCAUUAUCCAUCCAAAACCAGCUGCGGUCGCGGCCCCACGCUUACCCGUGGCGGUACGCGCCGCACGUCUGCACCCUUUUUUUACGAGUACCUUCGUUCUCCCUCGGCAGGGCAACCUGCCGUUGGAACCAUACAAAACCUUUUUUUGCAUCUAGCAUUACCUGUUCUGAUACAAACAAUCGUUACAACUUUUAGCAAUGGAUCUCAGA